CCUACGGGGGGCUGCAGUGGGGGAUAUUGCACAAUGGAGGAAACUCUGAUGCAGCGACGCCGCGUGAGGGAAGACGGUCUUCGGAUUGUAAACCUCUGUCUUCGGGGAAGAAAAUGACGGUACCCAAAGAGCAAGCUCUGGCAAACUACGUGCCAGCAGCCGCGGUAAUACGUAGGGCGCGAGCGUUCUCGGGAAUUACUGGGGGUAAAGGGAGCGUAGGUGGACGGGAAAGUUGAAGGUUAAAUCUAGCGGUUAAAGUGGGAGCUGCGUGCAAAACUUCUAGACUUGAGUGAGGUAGAGGAAAGCGGAAUUCCAGGUGUAGCAGUGAAAUGCGUAGAUAUUAGGAGGAACACCAGUGGCGAAGGCG
rnacentral:rRNA from 1 species